UCACGUUCCAGAGGACGUUCUGUUGUCACCCUUUUUCUUCGCCUAUUAGCCUCCUUUGGUCUCUCCCCCCCACACACACACACACCGCACCUCCGCCUAUAUCUCCUGUCUGUCGGCCUGUCGGUCUCUGUCUGGACGCUGUCCCCCUUCUCUUUGCCAAGCGUCCCUCAACGCUGUUUUUUUUUUUUUUUGGCGGCCAUCACACCUGUACAGCCGCCGAGCGAUCCCCCUAUCCCGCUUCGUUCUGCGGGGGUGCCGGGCUUCUCGGAGAUUCAUCGACGCUGCCAUUGUUCGCUCUCUCUCCACCCAUUGGACCCCAUCCCUGAGCCUGCUCCCUUCCUUCCCACCACCAACUCGCCAUCACACAUCAACGCCCCCUGCCCCCAUUCCCGACUCACCACCAUAGCUACGCGGACCUGCCGUCCCUCUGGCACUCUGUCUGCCUCUAUCUGCUUUCUUCUACGCCCCACGCUGUCACACCGAUACGCGCACCGGCACCCCCUCUCUGAGAGAAGCGGUCGACAUUUUCGAGCCGACGCGCUCGAUUUGGCUUGCUCUUGUUUCGCUACUCUUUUUGCCGCACGUGUUGGACCUCGUCUGCGCACGCGCACGCGAGAGGGACACAAGCGGGAGAGGAACGUUACAGUUGCUCCACAUCACCCACCGACUCUCUUUCACCCAAACACACACACACACAUACAUACACACUGGUACCACGCCACCUCCUACCUCCCACCUCCCUCCUACUCGUACUUCUAUUUACUAUCGCCACGAGUGGCCCUCAUACUCAUACGCCAUCUCUUCCGCCGCCGCGCCCCUCUUUACGCCCUUCCUCUCUUAUCACCCUUCUCCGCUCACGUACAAGCCCACAUACACAGGGGGAGGCGACGAAGGAAAAGACGUCGCUGCACCACGAGCACGUUAAGUGGAGGGAGGACGAACAAAAAUACGGACGAGGAGCGGAAGCGAAACCCAACAGAAGAUUCACGGAGGUGCACGAAGGAGGAAAAAAAGGCAGGGGCUGCACUUUCACACACGUCCUGCACCCACUCCACUAUACACGUAGCCGGCGCAUUUCUGUAGAGUACCAUCGAGCUGACGAGCGUUCGCAAGACAUCACUCGUAUUGACCUCUCUCUUUCUCUCUGUGUGUGGCGCAAGUCUCUCGCGCCCUCCUUCUUUCUCACUCCUCUCCCUCGUCCCUCGAGUCUUCUGCUUGUCUCUUCGCCUCACCCUCCUUAACCGUGCGCGUGUUUGCUGUUUGGCGCCAAGAACAGCAACACCUCAAGGAAGGAGGCGAGAGAGGGAAACGUUAGAGCAGGGGGUAUCGUCUCUCUCUCUCUCUCGUUUUUUUUUCUUGUGUGAGUGCGCGUGUGCCCGUCAGUGUACGCGUCUUUGUGUACACAUCUAUCCCUCAUUCCUCCUUUCCUUCCUUCCCCCGGUCUCACUUUUCACAGCCAAGCAAGCACGGAGCCGAGUACAUGCUCAUAGACAAACUCGUCUCCCAUCUCUCUGUCUGUCUCUGUCGCUGUGCCUUGUUUCUACUCUCUUCUUCUGUUUUGUGUACCGCAUCUCUUUAGUUUUCGUUGGCUGUUUGCUCUUGUUGCCACCCCUCCCUUAUUUCGCCUACUUGUGUCGUUGUCUGCCGCUCUCCGUGUCUGCCUCUGUACGUCUCUUGCUCGGCUUCGAAUACACACGCUUCGCCACCUCCACUCUGCCUCCGCCCCACCCCCUCCCCCUCGUCUGUUUUCUUAUGUAUGCCUGUGCUUGCGCGUUUUGGUCAAGUGCGACUCAUCACCCCCUUUUUUGUGUCUCCUUCCCCCGCCAUCUCUCUCUCUGAGCCUCCCUGCAAGCGUCGCUGUGCGUGCACCUGCCACUUACCUGUUUUUAGCUCUUUCCCCCUUCUCUUCGCCCGCCUCUCCCCCGUCUUGGUCUUGUUUCCUUCCCCUCGUCAUUUCACUCGUGUAUGUGUCUCGCUCUCUUUCUCUCGGUUUUCACGACGCUUGCAUCUCUGCUAAGCGCCCUUCUCUCUUCCUCCUCCUCUCUCUCCACUCCCCGCUCCCUCUCGAACCCGCCGACACCCUCGCCCAGCAGCCCGGCGCCUUCACGCUGUAUCCCUCUUCCCUCUCACCGCACGCGCGCCUGCUGUCUUCGGGUGGAUUGGGGGAGGGGGACUUCUACCAUUUCGUUCGCAUAACUCUCUUUUUUUUUGUAUUUGGUCUGCCGCUUCGUUGGCGCUGAGCAGUUCUCUUUAGUGUGAAAUUUUCUUUUUUUUUCCGUUGCAUCACUGUGUGUUUCACGUUGGCUCGCUCCUCUCUCGGUCUCUUCCUUUCGUGCACGCACGCACUCUCUUUCUCUCCCCUCCCCUCACUCCCCCGCAUUCCCCCUUCUCUCUUCACUUUCUUUGUUGUCCCCCCCCCGCUGGCUGCGUCGUUUCUCUUCUUCGUUUGUAGUGUGUUAUUCUCUCUUUUAUUGCCCAAUCCUCCCUCUCUUCGUGCGUGUCUCUGCCUGUCUUUAUCUCUCUGCGUGUGACUCCCUAACCCCCCCCCCCCCCGUACUCGCCCUCCUUCCCACACGGCACCUCUCUUCUUUCCUUACAUUGGUUCUCUUCCUCCUCCUCCCCCCGCCACACACUAGCCGCGGCCUCAUUGCGAAAAGGCGCUUCACUGUUUUAUUUGUCGUUUCCACCUCUGUUAGUUCCUGGAUGCGCGUGUCUCUCUCUCUGUCCUCCCUCUCCCUCCCCCUCUCCUCCACUCCCUCUCUCUCCCUCUCGCCCAGCCUUCUGUUCGCUCCUCUUUUGCCUUUCCUUGCGUCUUCUCUUACGUUUCACGUGUCUCGUCGUCUUCUCGUCUAACUGCCUUGGCCCCCACCCCUUCCCCUCCGUCUGUCUCUCUCUCUCCACCCAACUGACAUCCUACGCCAUCCCUGUCUCCGUUUUGUUGUCCUUCUUCUCGUGAAUCGUCUUCCUUUUCGACUGCCCCGCACCGCCUCGCGACUUCUCCAGGAGGGCGCAGCAACGACGCAAGGGCUACAGCGAGUGCGGAAGAGCCCCGGGUUCCUUCCUCCUUCGCCCCCCCUCCCCCUAUUGCUCCGCCCAUCCCUCCCGCGAGACGCACGUACACGCGUGCGUACCCAGGCACACGUGGACGCGUGUCGGGGGAGGACGAGACGGCUGUGAGAAGCCCCCACAUUCACUCUCCCUUCGUUUUUUUUCCCUGGUUCGGCUCCCUUGCCUUCGACACUACACUUGGCGUACCUGUGCUCGCGCUUCCCUCUUCCCCUUCAUCUCGUUGCAUCUCUCCGCGAUUCCAUACAUUUAGCGUGCCCGCUCUCUCUCUCUCUCUGCGUGUCUCUCUCCGUAUUGCAUUACACACCUGGGGCUCACCCGCGUGCCUGUUUCCGUGCGUCUGGCUGGUGGCUGUACACUGUUGUGUAGCUGCUUUGGUUCUUGCUUGCAAUCAGCCUCCGUCACCCUCACCCCCGCUCCUCCAUCGAUCCCUCUUCUUCCCUUCGCCCAGACUGUCUUCAAACAACGGGAGAGACGCACACCUCGUAACGCAACGACACCAAGGCGAAAGAAACACACAGUGGAACGACGAAGAGCGGAGAAGGGCUGCGCACGUGCCGCCGCCGCUACUUUCCACUCACUCACUCACUUACUCGCUCUCACAUACCUUCUUUCCCUCUCCGCGCCGGUGUGCGUCGGUCUUCGCUUGACGCUUCGCCUUGAACAUUUUGGUGUGGUCUUGUCUCAAAAGGGGUACUCUCUCCUUGUAGCGCUCCCUUCUUGUGUGCUGUGUGUGCAUGUAUGUUGAGUACUGCAGCGGCGACUCGUGCGCUUUUCGUGUCCCCUCCUCCUCUUCUCUUGGUUUCUCUUCUCUCUGCGUUCAAGAGAGCUCUCUCACUCUCUCACUCUCUCCCCCCUCUCUCACUCUCUCCCCCCUCUCUCACUCUCUCCCCCCUCUCUCUCUCUCCCGUCCUUCCUUCCUUUUCCUCUUGUGAAAUUUGUUCUCAACUCCCUCACCUUUUUGUUGUUCUUGUGUGUGUGUGUGUCUCCCUCUCUUCCUCCCUCCGCCCGUUUUUCCUGUGUCUUGCUCGUCUUCUGAAUUUUCUUCUUCCUCUCUCUCUCACUCUUCGUCACUGUUUUCGAAUCGGUCAUCUCGCUAGACAUUGCCGUCACCGUCGCCAUCGCUACUCGCCCUUUCGUUGUUUGUUUUUGUCAUCAAACCUCCUUUCUUCUCUCUCUCCCUGUGUGCGUGCGCGUGCGCUCUAUCCCUCCCUUCUCGCCCUCCCUCUUCUCUCUUCCACUCUUCUUGUCGUCGUCCUUUGUUUUUGCUUUUUCCUGUUGCUGUGAGGCGUCGUCGUCUUCCCGAGAACACGCGCAAAGGCCGGGGGUGCGCCUCCCUCAUCUCUCUCUCUCCAUCUCCCUCCUACUCUUGCUGCUGCUGUGCCUCCUCGCACUGCCGCGCUCGUGCGUGCGCGCAAAAACACACGCGCACACACAUACACACAAAAACUUGCCGCUAAAUUUGUUUUAAGAUUUUGAUCUUGCGCGCCCCCUCCCGCUUUCUCUCCACUCCCUGCCUCUCGUCAACCACAGCUUACCUAUACAUACGUGUACACACGUUCUCCGGCGCCGAUACGCUCGCGAACGCAUACGCAACCAUACGCGCGGCCAGCUCAUCCCGAGCGAACGGGAGAACAGGAAAGGCGCAGCUGAAAGAAUCACAAAAGAGGCGCUCGGGGCUCGCGCGUCCUACAGAUACUUCACAGGCUUCUUAUACAAGUUAGAUUUCCAUUUUUUUUUUCGCUUUCCCUUCCUAGUCUCACGGUUGCCGUUGCGCCGCCCUUUCCUCCCCUUCCGCGAUUCUUCGUGCGAGUCGCCGGCCUUCGUCGCCUAUCGCGCUCUUUCUCUCUCCCCUAGAUCUCGUGUGCUGUACGAGUGCUGCACCUGCGCUGCUUUACUCCUCGUCUACUCCGCCGCUCCUUUAGUCUUUAUCUUCACAGCCCUCCCUCCCCUCCCUCCGGACACCCCUUCCGUUACGACAAUCACGUCGUGCAUCCUUCUUCGCCUUGUUGUUUCGCGGCCGGCUCGUGCACAGAAAUUCCGUCUUUACAAGGGAUCUGCUGCUACACGUGCGCGCAGCUUUCAGCGGAGAGAUCACCCUCUCCUCUCCCCUUGAUCUCAGUCCUGUGCCCUCCUCCUCCCCCUCCUCCCUGUCUUUUUCCCCUUGUUCGUGUUUUCUGUGGUUGCCAUUCUUCCGUCGGCCGGGUCAUCUGCCGCAGCGGUGCGUCUCCGCCCUCCUUGUGUGGUUGUGUGCGCGAGCUGCCGUUGCACUCUAUACACACACCCACGAGAGAGGCAACCGUUUGUGUUUUCCCUUUUCUCCUCGGCGUGCGCGUUGUCUUUGUGGGCCUCUCUCUGUCUCUGGUUGGGCUUGCGAUCGGGUAGUUGUGUGGGCGUUGCUGCUGUGGUUGUGUUUGUGGUGGUGGCUGUGGGUCUGCGUCUUGCCCCUUCCCCCCUCCCUCCGUUAGUUUCUUCCUCGAUUUCUUGUUUCCCACGGCCUCCUCCCCUCAACCCCUGCCUCUGUCUUUUUCUCUCCAUCGCUUCCCCGCGCCCUUCUUCUUGUUUCCAUCUCCCCCCUCAGAGUCGUUGGCAUUCAUCGAUAGAAGUCCAUGCAAGGACAGUGACGCCCCUCUCUUUAUUUCACUCUCGCUCCUUCUCCGCUCUCCGCUCGUGCGGUGACGAGGAACAGCAGCAGCAAGGUCAGCAAGCGUGUGUGCUUGAGGACUCUGCCUGAGCGGAGCAGAUCAUCUCCACCACCUUUUUCCCCCUUUCUCGCCACCCCCUCCCCUUUCCUUUCUCUGUCUACCUCUUCUCGCACGCGUAGAUCCGCAGUGGGCUUGUUUUGCUUUUCCCCGCCCCUCCCCCCUCCUCCCCUCUUCCGUUUCGUCGAUUCUGGUUUCCGUGCAGCCUUCCUAUCCGUGUCGUGCCUCUCUCUCUCGCUCGCUUUUCAUUCGUCCAGUAUAGACGCCUGUGCCGCUGGGCGGUCUUUCUGGCCCUGGCGCUCUCCUCGUGUGCGCGUGAGUACGCGUUUCUUUGGCGCUGCUCGCUGUCUUACGGCUUGGCUCGGGUGCAACGAUCUCCUGACCGUCUGCCAGCCACUCUCUGCGCGGCUCUUCUCUCUCCCACUGCGGUUCCUCCCUCCCUGCCUUCCUUCCUCUUUUUUUUUUCCUCUCUGCGCGUGCGCGCGCACCUGUCGCUUUCUAUCUCUGUUACUUGGGCAGGCUUCACUGUGUCGUGCGUCGCUUCUCCGUCCCCACUCUUCCCACUUCAUUGAGCCUCCAUUGCUUCCGAGCAAGGCUGGAGCAUCUCCGCCUACGGGGGAGGGUCACCUUCGCUCUUUCUCUCUCUCCCGCGCACUUCGUGACAUCUUUCCGUGGGUUUAAAGAGCUCUUGUCUGUUUCGCUGUCCUCUGGUUGCGUAACGUCUCUCAGUUGCAGUGCAGUCGCCCACGCGCACGUUCUCUCUUCUCGUUUUUUUUUGGAUUUGUUGUUGUGAAGUCGACUCGUGGGUCCACGUGUGCAAUUUCGUGAAAGGGACGCAUAGACGCAUUUGCUAUACAGGGGCGGACGCACCCUCUGCCAGCCCCCGUGCUUCCACUUGUGUCUGUCUGUCAGCUUUUCUGUUUGCAAGGGCUUCGUCUCCAUCCCCUCCUUCCCCUCCUCCUCCUCCUCCCUCCUCCUUUUUCUGUUUUUCUUCGCUUGCUUCCUUGAGUGUUUUCUCGUGUUGUUGUUUGAUAUCUUUACACAGACUCUCUCUGUCUGUUUUGUGAGCGCGCGCGUGUUCGUGUGGAAUCUUUCCUUUCCCUCCGCAAAACGUGAGCUCCGCUGUACUGAAACGCAUCCAGUCAAGCGCAGCGCUUUAUUAUAUCACAUUCUCGCCUCCUCCGUUGCCCUUUCCCAGCCAUCCUUUACCGCCUCCGCCCCCACCUCCCUCGCUCUCCCUUGUUUCUUCGCCUUCUUGUGCGUUUUUUGUUGUGUGCCGCUGCCCGUUGUGUUGUAUGUCUGCAUCUGUUACAGUGGCCCCGUCUACCGUUUCUUCUUGCCUCCUCCCUCUCUACGCAUACCCCUUCCCCCUUCCCCCUUCCCCACCACACACACACGUACCAAUACGCGCCGUCUCUGCGCUCUCUUCCCCCUCUGCCUCUCUCCACUACCAUCUCCUCAGGACUUCUUCGUCUGCUUCGCUUACCUGGGCCGAUUUCCAUUGUCCGUGCCAUCUUGUUCUCCCUCUCUCCCUCUCUCUUUUACGUCUCUUGCGCAAGUAUCGCUGCGUGUUGUCUGUGCCUGUGUGUGUCACCGUGACAGCGCCUGCGUACGAACCACUUGCUUUUUGUUUUCCCUUCUGUCUGUCUCAGUCUGCCUGUCUUCUCGGUCUUCUCUUGUUUCUGUGUCGUGCCCGUUGACGCCCUGCCCUGCCCUCCCCCCUCCACCGCGCGAUCUCUUCUGUCUGCGUCUGUCUGCGUGUGUCUGUGUCUGUCCGUAACUUGGGCUUCCUCCUCCUCUCUUCUUGUCCCUUCGGUUGUUGCUCUUCCUUCUUCUUUACUGGCUUGGGUCUGCCAGAAGACACAACGGCGUGCGCGUGUGGUGUGUGUGCUCUCGUUGUUCGGGCCAUCUCAUCUGCAGGAUCUGUUAUUCUUUCUCUUCUCUCUGCACUUGUGCGUGUGCCUGUGCGUGGUUGUCUCUUCCGCCCUCCCGUCUUGUUCUCGCUAUUGGUUGUCGCCUGCUCUCGUUCGCCGGCUGCUCUGCCUGUGUGUGUGUGUCUCUCUGUUUUUCCUCGCCUUUUCAGUGUUGAGUUGCCAACGAUCCUCCGAACCACGCCCACGCCCACGCACACGGACAUCUACACACACACACACACCCGACGCACACGCCCUCGGGCACAUACACGCCCCCCUCCCACUCGACAUCCCCCGCCUCAUCAUCUCUGCGGGGUUGUCUUUGUAGCACCAUCACUUUUCUGUCCUUGUCUAUCUGUUUCUCUCCCUGCCCCUCUCUCGCUCUCGCUUCUGUGAAAGUCCGCAGCGGCGGCAGCGUCGUCACCCAGUGCGCAAGUCAGCAGUGAGGUAUAACCCGCCCUCCCCCUCUGUUGCUCCACAACGAGCCUUUAAAAAGCCGCUUAAAGUGCGCUCGCCUUCCUCGCUCUUCAUUCUUUCUGCUCGUGCCUAUUGUGUGUAUUGUGUGUCUGGGCCAUCUUAACGUGCUUCUCUCGGCGCUUGCGGCCCCCCUCCCCCUUUCCCUUCCUUCACCUGCCCGAACGCCGUUCCUCGUCGCCUCUCUCUCGGUCUCCGUCUCGACUUCUCUCUUGCGCACUUGCGAACGGUUUUGCUACAAGGCGCGCGCGUGUCUGCAUCUGCGCGGGUCUUUGCUCUCCCCCUCCGCCUCCUGCUGAUCUCUGGCUCUUCCUUUCUUUCCUAACGCACCCGAGAGGGCCGCGCCAUGUACACCAUUUCGUCCGAUGCGGUGGACGAGUCGACCACCGCGUUCGAGUGGCGCGUGUGGGGCUCUGACUCGAGCGCCUCCACCCCCGUGGUGCCGCUCGGCGGUGUCAGAGACGCCUCACUGCGCUCCACGACGGCAGCGACCAUGCCGGUCGCGUCGUUCUGGGGCGACUCCCGUGAUGAUCGAGGCGCCGCCGCCGCUGCCGCUUCCACAACGUCGCCGUUGACUUCUUCCACCUUGUGGUCGUCGGUGACGGUGGCGAACAACAUGCGUGGCACCAGCAACGCCGCAUACAAGGGCACACGCGCCCCCAGUGCUGCGACCACGCCAGCUGGACUGGUGGCGCUCAGCAGCGAGGGUAAGCGCAUACCGUCGCAGAAGUCGUCGGCCGUGCCGGCAGACCUCAGCAGUCACUCAGAGCGCCCCAACGGCGACAUUGGGGGCGGCACUAGCGUUGGCACCUUCAAGUACACAGCCGCGUCGUUGGCGGUGGAGCCGCCGCAUUCAACGAUGCCCACCACCUUUCGCGACAGCGAUGACGGAGACGAUGAAGCUUUUGAUAUCAUCAAGGAGAGCAUCAAGCGCCAGCUCGUCAGCAUCGAGGAGGAUGAGCUCGUCAGUGAGACAGCGCAAGACAACUUAGCGGCCGCUUUACGGCAGACACUUCAGCCGCAGCCGCAGCCGCAGCCGCAGCCGCAACAGCAUCGCUUCUUAACAGUGCAGCUGCGGGGCGGCGCCGCCAGCGAGGCUGCCGGUGCGCGUCGGAGCGGCGACGAUGAUCGCAUAAUUCACAUCACUAGCGCUGCUACACCCCCUGCUCCUCGGUCGGCUGCUGCAGCUCGGCAAGGGGAGAUAAAAACGAUCCGUUGCUCUUCUUCGCCCGUGUCGGUCGUGGAGCAGCUCGCUGCCAUCAGCAUUGGCCAGUCAUCCGUGUCCAAGGUAAGUGUGCCUCUCACCAGUGCAAGCGGUGGCGACGCGAAGGGUUUUCGCUCGAAGCCACCUUCAUCGCUCCCACAGUCUCCCCAGGCACCCGCCCAGAAGGCCGCGCAACUGACAUCCCAGCAGUCUUCCGAGCAGCCGCUGCCGCAGCACCACGAGCCGCAGCAGCAAAGAGCUCCGGCUACGGUGCACCCGCUCAAUGCUGCGGCGUCACGUGCGACGCUCUUUGAGCAACAGCGCCAGCCCUCGGCAAACGGCGUUGGCGGCACGGCCUGCGGCGCGAGCCCCCGCGCAGAGGCGAGCAUCCACGCCGGCGGUCUACGCAUCCCACUUCCAACCCCCGGUGCCCGUUCGAUGGGUGGCAGAAGCGGCUCUGGCGAAAUCGCUGCCGUGCAAAUCUCCACCGAGGCCGCAAGUCGUACCCCCUUUCACAUGGACCCAAGCCGAGACAUCGGCAGCGGUGCGGCGACGGCGACGGCGACCGCGAGGUCCUCGGCAACGUCAACGACGGCCUCAUCGUCCUCGACGUCGACAACGCUGCAGAGCGGCCGUUUCUCCUCUGAGCGCUCGUCGUCGUCCAAGGAAGAGCCAGCCAGUUCAGGCCACCACUAUCAGCAGUAUCCCCGUCAGCUUCUCUCAGGUUCGUCUGUGACGCAGCUCAGACACGGCCGGCAUCCGCAUCAACACGAAAUUCCGGCACUGCAGCUCGAGGGUUUACAAGAGCCAUAUCCCACGAAUAGCCAACAGGAGUGUCUUCAGCAUAAAGGCACACAGCAGCAGCAGCAAGAGCAACCGCCAGCGCCGCCGCCGCUGACACCACCCCCACCACCGCCGCUGCCGCAGCAGCAGCGUGUACAGGCCUCGUCGAUGAUGUCGUUUCAGGGUGGCCCAAGGCUCCCCAACUUGCCACCACACCUCCAGCCACAGCCGCUCACGCAAGCGCAGCAGCAAUCCCAUCUUCAGCAUCCGCUACCGCAGACACAGUCUCAACAGUCGCAGCAACAGCAGCUUGGAGUGUCUGCGUCGUCUCCUUCAGCGGCCAUGAUGUCUGGCAAGAUCUACGCCGCCACUCCGCAUGGCCGGCUGAUCUUGCUCACCCCUGACGGCGUACAAGCACCACAGGUGCAGCUGCCUCAGCACUCACUGCCGCCACCACCGCCACCGCCUCCGCCACCGCCGUCGACCGCCACCAGCUCGGCGCUCACUGGCAACUACGUCACCGCCAGCAACUACUCUGCUCUCUUCUGCCGCAACAACCCACUGCACUCUAUGCGUUACCCCGGCUCUCAGCCAGAGAGCGCGGGGCGGCUGGCGGGUGAGGCGGUUCGUCCCAAGGAUGAGAAGGGCACCGCGGCGACCCCCUUCAGCAGCUCAGAGCGUUCCGGCACCCAGGCGUCCAACACGACUGCCAGCUCUGCGGCAUCAGAGAAGGAUGUGCCGACGAGCCUCAACGCAGGACAGAGCCGCGACGACGCUGCGGUGAACCACGCCGAGACCCGUGCCUCGGUGGCCCCCGCAGUGGCCACUGCUGGCAGCGCGAGUGCCGAAGCACCGCCUCUUCCGGCCGCCCGUUCAGCUGCUGCGACUGGUGCAUCGUCGGCAACAGUCAGCGGUAGCGGCGGUGCGGCAGCGCCUGCGGGUCGUGGCAGUCAACCGCCCACGGCCUCUGUAGCGCCGCUUCUCGUCCGAAACUCCCACGGCGCCUCCGCCGGUGAGCUUGCGCAGCGGCUUGGCAGCCACCCCAGCAGCAGCAGCAGCAGCAGCAGCGCGAAUGGUUGUGGCCGGCCCCUCCAGCUACCAACGUUCCCAACACGCGAGGACAUCAGCAUCACCUCGUCCGCGGGUGGCGCCGACCACCCGAACCUCAACGCAGCACCGGUUUCAACAUCGUCUAGCAACGGCGCCGCCAUGUCGCCUCUCUCGAGAGUGCAACCGAAGCUCGUCGAUUCUGACCGAAAUAUUGGGCUGAGCGCGACGAACACUCUCACGCUGCCACCGAGCAGCGUCAAGGCAGACGGCAGCAGUGCGCAGAUUGCCGUGCCUGCGAACGGCAGCGGCACCGCAGCGACCGGCUCUCAAGGAGGUGCGGUAGCAGCGGAACUGAUAGGGCCGAGCAACAACGCUCUGGGCAACUCCAGCACCUUCGCACACCUCCCCACGGGGCUCAAGCCGCACGACAGUGGCCUCGGCGCGGAUGCCACAGUCGCCAGCAACAGUGGCUAUGCUGCCCACUUUACGCAGUCGGCAUCACAGCCUGCGCUUUCGGCCCCUGCGUCUUCCGCAUCAUACAGCCCACUGACAGCACUCGGCUCAGCAAACGGCAGCGGCGCCGCCAAGUGCAUCUCGACGCAAGCGCUGUUUCGGCAGGAGCCGGCCGGCAACAGUCGCCUCGCAUCGCGCGCGGACCUUUUUGCACAGGCUGCGAAGCCCGCCUGGCCAGACACCGUCUCUUCACCGUCCAAGCAGGGCCCAGCUGGGGCGCCACCGCUGCCACAGCGACAGCCGCCACAGCUGCAGCCGUCGCAGCAGCACCAGCAGCUCUACAUGCAAGGGCUUUCUCCUCCGCCCUCGACACUGCACUCCCCCCUCGGCGGCCGUCUCCACGCCGCUGCCGACGACUCUGUCGUCGUGACGAUCCCUGUCACGGGCGGCGACGGCACCAUCACGGCAGCUGUCAUCGCAGUGCCGUCUCCAUUCUCGUACACUGAGGCCGGGGUGCAGCAGUACUGCCUCGGAGCUCUACAGCAGCAACAUCCACAGCAACAGCGACCGCGCCCGCCGCCGCAGCGGCAUCCCUUGCCGCCGCCUCCGCAACAGCAGCACUUUCAUCAUCAAGGCGCACCAGCAAAGGAUCAAUCCACUGCAAGCUGUGCGGGUGAGGAGGCGGAGUGGCGGCGGAAGCAGGAUCUGAUCACGCUGCAGCUCGAGCAGCAUCGCCAGCGGCUCGAAAACGAGCUUCGGCAAGUGCAGCUGCAACAAGCGCAGCAGCAGCAACAGCUGCAGCACGCGCAGCACCAUCAUAGCCAUCACCACCAACACCAGCAACAGCAGCAGCUACGGUAUCAGCAGUCUCUGCUGCCGGCACAGACAACCAUGGUCACGAUUGACGGAUGCCUCUACCGCAUGGUGUCGGCCUCCUCAGCAGAGGCCUACGUGAACCGCGGCCAGCCGUGCCGUGAUGUGCACUUUGUGGACAGAGACGCUCUUGCCAGCGACGGCUCCGCGGGGGCAGACGGCCGCACUGAGGCUGCAUCUCUUCAACCGAGCAAUCACCCCGGUGUGUGUAUGCCCGUCUCCCCGCAAGCCCAGCUAUCACCACAACAGCAACAGCAACCCAUGAUCAUCACCGCCGCGGGUGAUCGGAGUGCUUUAGGUGAGGCCACCUCGGCGGCGGCGGCGUCGCUCGCGAAGUCAUCUACGCCUGGCACUAACGUUAUGCUGAUGAUGCCGACGCCGUCUGCCUCGCACAAGGCGCAGUACGGAUACUAGAGACGCUCCGCUUGCCUUCGUUGUCCUGCGCGUGCGCCGCGCACGGAGAGGAGGAGAGACGACAGUGAAGAGUCUGGACGGCGAUGGAGGCGUACCGUCAAGCAGUGCAACCGCCCACAUCGCUGCUCUCAUCGUUCUCUCACCGUUGUCGUACUGCUGCGGCUACUCGUGCCGCUUCCAUGUGACCCUCCUCCCCUCCUCCCCCCUUCCCCCCUCCCCUUCCCCCUCUUUCCCCCUCGUUCCUGCCCUCUGUGUCACCUUCGGGGUUCUCUCUUGCAUGCCUUGUUGACAUCGCUAG
rnacentral:misc_RNA from 1 species